UACGGAGGGUGCAAACGUUGCUCGGAAUCAUUGGGCGUAAAGCGCACGUAGGCGGUCCAGCAAGUCGGGUGUGAAAGCCCUCGGCUUAACCGAGGAAGUGCAUUCGAAACUACUGGGCUUGAGUACUGAAGAGGAUCGCGGAAUUCCCGGUGUAGAGGUGAAAUUCGUAGAUAUCGGGAGGAACACCAGUGGCGAAGGCGGAUCUCUGGGCCUUGCCUGACGCUGAGGCGCGAAAGCUAGGGGAGCGAACAGG
rnacentral:rRNA from 1 species